GAUGAACGCUGGCGGCGUGCCUAAUACAUGCAAGUCGAGCGAACGGACGAGAAGCUUGCUUCUCUGAUGUUAGCGGCGGACGGGUGAGUAACACGUGGAUAACCUACCUAUAAGACUGGGAUAACUUCGGGAAACCGGAGCUAAUACCGGAUAAUAUUUUGAACCGCAUGGUUCAAAAGUGAAAGACGGUCUUGCUGUCACUUAUAGAUGGAUCCGCGCUGCAUUAGCUAGUUGGUAAGGUAACGGCUUACCAAGGCAACGAUGCAUAGCCGACCUGAGAGGGUGAUCGGACACACUGGAACUGAGCCACGGUCCAGACUCCUACGGGAGGCAGCAGUAGGGAAUCUUCCGCAAUGGGCGAAAGCCUGACGGAGCAACGCCGCGUGAGUGAUGAAGGUCUUCGGAUCGUAAAACUCUGUUAUUAGGGAAGAACAUAUGUGUAAGUAACUGUGCACAUCUUGACGGUACCUAAUCAGAAAGCCACGGCUAACUACGUG
rnacentral:rRNA from 1 species